rnacentral:rRNA from 1 species
UACGUAGGGGGCAAGCGUUGUUCGGAAUUAUUGGGCGUAAAGAGCGUGUAGGCGGCCAAGCAGGUCCGCUGUGAAAACUCGAGGCUCAACCUCGAGACGUCGGUGGAAACCGUUUGGCUAGAGUCCGGAAGAGGAGAGUGGAAUUCCCGGUGUAGCGGUGAAAUGCGCAGAUAUCGGGAAGAACACCCGUGGCGAAGGCGGCUCUCUGGGACGGUACUGACGCUGAGACGCGAAAGCGUGGGGAGCGAACAGG